CAAUCUUGAUCUUUCAUCAUGGUAACAGACCUUGUCUUAGCUCCAACGAGCGAUUGAUGAUCCUCCUGUGAGAUUAAACUUGCCAUCCAUCGAUUCUCAGAGCUUCGACUCCAAGACUUUCAUGUCAUCUUCUCCGUUAUUUAUACCUGUGAUUGCUACAAUGGAGUCGUCCUCUUCGUCUGAAGUUGCGAUUCCUUCAAAUCUUGGUUUUUGAUCUCGAAUCUUGGGUCACUUGUUACAGUGAAGUUGGAUAACACUAAUUUCAUAGUGUGGAAAUACCAGAUGCAAAACAUCCUUCGUGCCACUGAUCUGUUGAAGAUUGUAGAUGGUACCUUUUCUUGCCCUAGCAAUAUGAUUCGAAGUAUAUCAGGAACAGAGAUUGUGAAUCCAAAAGCAAUUCGUUGGAAGAUGAUUGAUGCACACCUUCUUAGUUGCAUCACAGCCACACUUUCCCCUUCUAUAUUCACCUCUGUUCUUUAUCUUCAGACCAGCUCUCAGGUAUGGAAAAUGUUUGAUAAGCAGUUUACUUCUCUAUCAAGAUCUCAUAUCCAUCAGUUAAAGAACAAAUUGAGUUCAAUUUCAAAGAAAUCAAACUGCAUGGAGAUAUAUCUGGGUAAAAUCAAAAGUUUAGUUGACCAAUUGAGCAUUGCCUCUUCAUUUGUUGAUGAUGAGGAUUGUUCUCCUCACUUUGAAUGGCUUGCCUAAUGAAUAUGAUGCUGUUAAAACUGCUAUCCGUACUCAUUCGAAGAGUAUCACUAUGGAAGAGCUUUCUUCUUUACUCUGCUCAGAGGCUAUUCAUAUUGAAGGCAAAUUGAAACAAGCCUCAAAUCUCCCAGUUGUUUAUGCAACAAUAAAGGAACCUGUGUCUUCUUCAAAAGAUUUUACUUCUUAUUCCCAUGGUCGAGGUUCUACUCGUAAUGAUUCUCACGGUUAUCAUCGUGGAAAUAGAUUUACUCAAGGUCGAUCUUCUUCAUUUUGUAGUAGAUAACAAGGUUGAGGAGGUUGAUCAAGUUCUAGCCGUUAUGACAUGAUCUGUCAAAUCUGUGGCAAGCAAAAUCACACUGCUCUAGAGUGUUGGCACAAACUGGACUCUAAUUUUCAAUAUUCUCCUUCAUAUCCACAUCACUCACCUCAAUCUCAGCAGCAUCAAUCUAAGGCCUUUGUUGCAUCUGUGCCAGUUGAUACUACUACUUCAACCUCUUCUCCCUGGUUCUUGACUCUGCUGCAUCUAAUCACAUCACCAAUGAUUUGCACCUUUUGAAUUCCUAUUAGCCAUAUAACAGAGAAGAUCAAGUCGCCAUUGGUAAUGGUUCUUCACUCUCUAUUCAUAAUACUGGGCAAGGACAAUCAUUCCAAGGAUAUUCUUCAUAGAGGUCUUCAUGCUAAUGGUCUUUACCAAUUUUUUGACAAUAUUUUUCAUGCUUCACCUCAUGCUUAUAGUAGUUCAACCUCAUCUUCCUCUUCUUCUGCAUCUGUUGAUACAUGGCAUCAAAGACUAGGCCAUCCUUCUUCUUUUAAGUUUCAUCUUCUUAAAUAGCAUUUAUGUUUGUCAUCUAAUAAGACUACACAUUCAUGUGUUAACUGUGUUGUGGCUAAGUGUCAUAGAUUACUUUUUCACCUUUCCAAUAAUCAUGUAAAUCAGCCUUUAGUAUUAAUACAUAGUGAUGUCUGGGGCCAUUUACUUCUUCUUCUUCUCAAUACAAGUAUUAUGUGCUAUUCAUUGA